rfam:Felis catus isolate Cinnamon breed Abyssinian chromosome F1, whole genome shotgun sequence.
GCCUGGGUGGCUCAGUCGGUUGAGCGUCCGACUUCGGCUCAGGUCAUGAUCUCAUGGUCCGUGGGUUCGAGCCCCGCGUCGGGCU